UUCUUAAAGAAAUUAUUUUAAGUAUCUUCUGCUCAAUGAACAUUAAAUAGCUGCAUUUGCACUAAGGUAGCAUAAUAAUUUGUCUAUUAAUUGUGGACUGGAAUGAAUGAAGGAAUGAGGAAAAUCUUUCUUAARAUUGACAGAUUAAACUUAAAUUUUUGGUAAAAAUGCCAAAAUAAUGUUUAGGGACGAGAAGACCCUAUGAAGCUUUAUAAUAUUUAUUGUUUAUUUUAUUUUGUUGGGGCAACACUCUAAGAAAAAAGUUUAGAGAAAUUUUUAAAUUAAUAUAUAUAUAUUGGAGCCAAAAAUUUUGAUUAUUUGAUUAAGUUACUCUAGGGAUAACAGCAUGAUUUAAAUUGGAAAGUUCAAAUUGAUAAUUUAGUUUAUGACCUCGAUGUUGGAUUAAUAUAACUUUUUGGUGAAGGAAUUGAAGAAGUUAGUCUGUUCGACUAUUAAAUUAUUACA
rnacentral:rRNA from 1 species